rnacentral:tRNA from 1 species
GCAGCUGUAGUCUAGUCGGUUAGGACGGGGCAAAUUGAUCAUUAUGGAUCAAUUUACGGAAGCCUCCCAAGCCUCUGACCCGGGUUCGAAUCUCGGCAGCUGCACCA